GCCAGAUGAAAAAUAUCAGGUGUUACCUGCCCAGUGGAAUAUAAGUACUUUGAAUUAUAAAAGGUUUAAAGUUCAAUUAUAUUUUAAACGGCGGCUUUAAUCUGAGAGUCACAAUGUAGCAUAAUAAUUUGCCUUUUAAUUGAAGGAUAGUAUGAAUGGUGUCACGAAUACUUCAUUGUCUUAAAUAAAAACUUUUAUAAAAUUGAAAUAAUAGUGAAGAUGCUAUUUAAAAUUGUAAGACGAAAAGACCCUAAGAACUUUACUACUUUUAAAUAAUAAUGUUACUUAUAUUAUUUACAGGUAGUUUGAGUGGGGUGCUCAUCUUUUAUUAAAAACAUUGAUAAGUAAAAAUAUUUAAUUACUGUUUAAAUAAUAAUUUUAACAGUUACAAAAGUAGACAUAAAAUGACCCAAUUAUUUAUAAAUAAACUAUUACUAUUGUUGUUAGAUAACAGUUACCUUAGGGAUAACAGAACAAAGAUGAAAUAAAGAUGUUAUUGUUUCCAUUACUUGUUACCUCGAUGUUGAAUUAUGGUAUCCAAAUUUUAGCAGAAGAAAUUAAGGGUAGGACUGUUCGUCCUUUAAAACCGU
rnacentral:rRNA from 1 species